GUGUGCUCUUCCGAAGGCGAUCUGGCUGCGACAUUUGUCACCCCAUUGAUCGCCAGGGUUGAUUUGGCUGACCUGGCUGGCUAGGCGGGUGUCCCCUUCCUCCCUCACCGCUCCA